CUUAGUAUUAGACAAUCCAACUAAGAACGUAUAUAAGGAUCAUGAGGAGCUUCAUUAACUUUCCAGUUAAAAAGCAUUCGGGCUUACAAACAUCGACCUGGAUUAAUUACAAGCUCUUCACCUAUGUACAACACAUUUACACGUUCUUAUCAAAAGUGUAAGUAAACAGCUAGGGGACAAAGGUGAGAGGGUUCCUAACUUCACUACCUCCACACUAGCCCACAUCCAUAAAAAAAUUAUAAAAAAAAAAAAAGACGUCUUCUCUGGCUUCACCACGAUCUGGGCGCCUAAGCACCUCCUGCCCCGACUCCAGGUCCUCCAGCACCGAACUGAAGAGGGCCAAAUAGCUCCCCCUCGUGAUUUACAAACUACGCAACAAACUUAAUAGGAAUCCAGUUUACCCUGCCAUCAUCCAUCCAAAGUGUAGUCUCAUAUCUCAUGUAGGUCCACUCAAUAUCGGGAUCAUACACGUCAUGGAAAGAUACAUCAAUAUGCGCUAUUGUCCCAUAACGAGCAAUUGGUGGUACGUCUAUACUAACGAUCUGAAAAAAAAAAGAAGAAAAAGGAAUGAGCAAUGCCCAGUAAAGAAAUAAUAAGACCCUAAACUAGACAAUUCACAGUUGUCAAAGAAAGCAAGAGAACAUAACCAAAUAGCUUAACAUACUCAGGCAGGAUUGUCACAAGUAUAACUAAGUGAAUACCAAAAUGUCACAUGAAUGAUCA
rnacentral:lncRNA from 1 species